AUGAUUGAAGGUGUUUUUGUGUUUCUUCCAGAAGAAUGGAGAGAGAAUCGUGAAAGGUUAGUAAAAAAAUUGGAAAAGUUGGAAAUGGGUUGUUUAGCGCCUGUUUUGAUUUUGGUUUUAUUAGGACUGGUGCAAGACAAUGCGAAUCUGGGAAGUAGGUUUCGUUUUAGCCGCAACUUUGGAGUUUUGGAUAUUUAUGGAACAAUACUUAAAGGAAUGUCCUCAUGA